rnacentral:sRNA from 24 species
AAGCGACCGAACUCAAGUGCCGGAAAUCGGGGUGAGAUCCGGCAGCGCAGGAUCCGCGUAAGACGGAGCCAGACGCCCCCGAGAGUCGCUCCGGGCCUGCCCAUAUGC